UCCCUGGUGGUCCAGUGGCUAAGACUCUGAGUUCCCAAUGCAGGGGUUGUGGGUUUGAUCCCUGCUCAGGGAC
rnacentral:tRNA from 1 species